rnacentral:rRNA from 1 species
UGCAAGUCGAACGGCAGCACGGGGGCAACCCUGGUGGCGAGUGGCGAACGGGUGAGUAAUACAUCGGAACGUGUCCUGUAGUGGGGGAUAGCCCGGCGAAAGCCGGAUUAAUACCGCAUACGAUCUACGGAAGAAAGCGGGGGAUCUUCGGACCUCGCGCUAUAGGGGCGGCCGAUGGCAGAUUAGCUAGUUGGUGGGGUAAAGGCCUACCAAGGCGACGAUCUGUAGCUGGUCUGAGAGGACGACCAGCCACACUGGGACUGAGACACGGCCCAGACUCCUACGGGAGGCAGCAGUGGGGAAUUUUGGACAAUGGGGGCAACCCUGAUCCAGCAAUGCCGCGUGUGUGAAGAAGGCCUUCGGGUUGUAAAGCACUUUUGUCCGGAAAGAAAACCUCUUGGUUAAUACCUGAGGGGGAUGACGGUACCGGAAGAAUAAGCACCGGCUAACUACGAGCCAGCAGCCGCGGUAAUACGUAGGGUGCGAGCGUUAAUCGGAAUUACUGGGCGUAAAGCGUGCGCAGGCGGUCUGUUAAGACCGAUGUGAAAUCCCCGGGCUUAACCUGGGAACUGCAUUGGUGACUGGCAGGCUUUGAGUGUGGCAGAGGGAGGUAGAAUUCCACGUGUAGCAGUGAAAUGCGUAGAGAUGUGGAGG